rnacentral:rRNA from 1 species
GCAGGAACUUGCGAGUACUCGAUACUCCAACUUCUUGAUCUCAAAUC